rnacentral:rRNA from 1 species
GGGGGGGGCAAGCGUUGUUCGGAAUUACUGGGCGUAAAGGGCGCGUAGGCGGCCUGCUAAGUCGGACGUGAAAUCCCUCGGCUCAACCGAGGAACUGCGUCCGAUACUGGUGGGCUUGAAUCCGGGAGAGGGAUGUGGAAUUCCAGGUGUAGCGGUGAAAUGCGUAGAUAUCUGGAGGAACACCGGUGGCGAAGGCGGCAUCCUGGACCGGUAUUGACGCUGAUGCGCGAAAGCUAGGGGAGCAAACGGGAUUAGAUACCCCGGUAGUCCUAGCCCUAAACGAUGAGUGCUUGGUGUGGCGGGUAUCGAUCCCUGCCGUGCCGAAGCUAACGCAUUAAGCACUCCGCCUGGGGAGUACGGUCGCAAGGCUGAA